AACGAACGCUGGCGGCGUGCCUAACACAUGCAAGUCGAACGAGAUCUUCGGGUCUAGUGGCGCACGGGUGCGUAACGCGUGGGAAUCUGCCCUUUGGUUCGGAAUAACAGCUGGAAACGACUGCUAAUACCGGAUGAUGACGAAAGUCCAAAGAUUUAUCGCCAGAGGAUGAGCCCGCGUAGGAUUAGCUAGUUGGUGUGGUAAAGGCGCACCAAGGCGACGAUCCUUAGCUGGUCUGAGAGGAUGAUCAGCCACACUGGGACUGAGACACGUCCCAGACUCCUACGGGAGGCAUCAGUGGGUAAUAUUGGACAAUGGGCGAAAGCCUGAUCCAGCAAUGCCGCGUGAGUGAUGAAGGCCUGAGGGUUGUAAAGCUCUUUUACCCGGGAUGAUAAUGACAGUACCGGGAGAAUAAGCUCCGGCUAACUCCGUGCCAGCAGCCGCCGCCG
rnacentral:rRNA from 1 species